UACGGAGGGGGCGAGCGUUAUUCGGAAUUAUUGGGCGUAAAGGGCGCGUAGGCGGCCCGGUAAGUCAAAGGUGAAAUCCCUCGGCUCAACUGAGGAACGUGCCUUUGAAACUGUCGGGCUUGAGGCCGGGAGAGGGUAGUGGAAUUCCCAGUGUAGCGGUGAAAUGCGUAGAUAUUGGGAGGAACACCAGUGGCGAAGGCGGCUACCUGGACCGGUUCUGACGCUGAGGCGCGAAAGCGUGGGGAGCGAACAGG
rnacentral:rRNA from 1 species